ACCAGCUGACGGGUCCUAAAUAAGACGAAAUGCGAAUCCUGGAU
rnacentral:hammerhead_ribozyme from 1 species